rnacentral:rRNA from 1 species
CAGUCGCCACGGGAAUACAGAGGGUGCAAGCGUUAAUCGGAAUUACUGGGCGUAAAGCGCGCGUAGGUGGUUCGCCAAGUUGGAUGUGAAAUCCCCGGGCUCAACCUGGGAACUGCAUCCAAAACUGGCGAGCUAGAGUAUGGUAGAGGGUGGUGGAAUUUCCUGUGUAGCGGUGAAAUGCGUAGAUAUAGGAAGGAACAUCAGUGGCGAAGGCGACCACCUGGACUGAUACUGACACUGAGGUGCGAAAGCGUGGGGAGCAAACAGGAUUAGAUACCCCCGUAGUCCCUGUCUCUUAUCC